rnacentral:rRNA from 1 species
ACAUGACUACAACAUAGCAUUAAUGCAUCGGAUCCCAUUAGAACUCCACAGUUAAGCACACUUAGUCUAGAGUAGUAUCGGUAUGGGUGGUCGUCUGAGAGGUGCUAGUAUUUUACAUGCC